rnacentral:rRNA from 1 species
UACGUAGGGGGCAAGCGUUGUCCGGAUUUAUUGGGCGUAAAGAGCGUGUAGGCGGCCACACAGGUCUGCUGUGAAAACUCGAGGCUCAACCUCGAGCUGUCGGUGGAAACCGUGUGGCUAGAGUCCGGAAGAGGAGAGUGGAAUUCCCGGUGUAGCGGUGAAAUGCGCAGAUAUCGGGAGGAACACCAGUGGCGAAGGCGACUUCCUGGCCUGUUCUUGACGCUGAGGCGCGAAAGCUAGGGGAGCAAACGGG